CUGAACCAGCCAAGUAGCGUGAAGGAUGAAGGCCCUACGGAUUGUAAACUUCUUUUAUACGGGAAUAAAGUAUCGUGAGUGUAGGAUUUUGUAUGUACCUUAUGAAUAAGGAUCGGCUAACUCCGUGCCAGCAGCCGCGGUAAUACGGAGGAUCCGAGCGUUAUCCGGAUUUAUUGGGUUUAAAGGGAGCGUAGGCGGACGCUUAAGUCAGUUGUGAAAGUUUGCGG
rnacentral:rRNA from 1 species